ACGAACGCUGGCGGCGUGCUUAACACCUGCCAGUCGCACGGAAAGGCCCUGCUUUUGUGGGGUGCUCGAGUGGCGAACGGGUGAGUAACCCGUGAGUAACCUGCCCUUGACUUUGGGAUAACUUCCGGAAACUGGGGCUAAUACCGGAUAAGAGCUCCUGCUGCAUGGUUGGGGUUGGCAAGUUUCGGCGGUUGGGGAUGGACUCGCGGCUUAUCAGCUUGUUGGUGGGGUAGUGGCUUACCAAGGCUUUGACGGGUAGCCGGCCUGAGAGGGUGGCCGGCCACAUUGGGACUGAGAUACGGCCCAGACUCCUACGGGAGGCAGCAGUGGGGAAUAUUGCACAAUGGGCGGAAGCCUGAUGCAGCAACGCCGCGUGCGGGAUGACGGCCUUCGGGUUGUAAACCGCUUUCGCCUGUGACGAAGCGUGAGUGACGGUAAUGGGUAAAGAAGCACCGGCUAACUACGUG
rnacentral:rRNA from 1 species